rnacentral:rRNA from 1 species
GUAGGGAAUAUUGGGCAAUGGAGGCAACUCUGACCCAGCCAUGCCGCGUGCAGGAUGACGGCCCUCUGGGUUGUAAACUGCUUUUAUACGGGAAGAAAAAAUACUACGUGUAGUAUACUGACGGUACCGUAAGAAUAAGGAUCGGCUAACUCCGUGCCAGCAGCCGCGGUAAUACGGAGGAUCCAAGCGUUGUCCGGAUUUAUUGGGUUUAAAGGGUGCGUAGGCGGAUCUUUAAGUCAGUGGUGAAAGCCUGCAGCUUAACUGUAGAAUUGCCAUUGAAACUGAAGAUCUUGAAUGUGGUUAAAGUAGGCGGAAUGUAUCAUGUAGCGGUGAAAUGCUUAGAUAUGAUACAGAACACCGAUAGCGAAGGCAGCUUGCUGAACCAUUAUUGACGCUGAGGCACGAAAGCGUGGGGAGCGAACAGGAUUAGAAACCCUUGUAGUCC